rnacentral:rRNA from 1 species
CAAUACUUUGGUGGCGACCGGCGCACGGGUGCGUAACGCGUAUGCAACCUACCUUUAACAGGGGCAUAACACUGAGAAAUUGGUACUAAUUCCCCAUAACAUUCGAGAAGGCAUCUUCUUGGGUUAAAAACUCCGGUGGUUAAAGAUGGGCAUGCGUUGUAUUAGCUAGUUGGUGGGGUAACGGCUCACCAAGGCAACGAUACAUAGGGGGACUGAGAGGUUAACCCCCCACAUUGGUACUGAGACACGGACCAA